rnacentral:rRNA from 1 species
CAGCCGCCGCGGUAAUACGAAGGGGGCUAGCGUUGCUCGGAAUGACUGGGCGUAAAGGGCGCGUAGGCGGAUGGCACAGUCAGAUGUGAAAUUCCCGGGCUUAACCUGGGGGCUGCAUUUGAUACGUGUUGUCUAGAGUGAGGAAGAGGGUCGUGGAAUUCCCAGUGUAGAGGUGAAAUUCGUAGAUAUUGGGAAGAACACCGGUGGCGAAGGCGGCGACCUGGUCCUUUACUGACGCUGAGGCGCGAAAGCGUGAGGAGCAAACAGGAUUAGAUACCCGAGUAGUCCCUGUCUCUUAUAC